AGGUUUUUUCGCAUAAAAAUUCGAGGUGAAAACAAAAAUCGAUUAUUUUUUUUUCAAAAAUCGAUUUUUCACAAAUCGAUUUAUUUCUAAACAAAAAAAAUCGAUUAUUGAUUAAUCGAUUUUUCUGAAUCGAGGUCACAUCCCUACUAAGGAAUCCUAUGGACAGGGCAUAUUGUUCUAUACAAACAACUGAUUAUACAAAUAUCAUGCAUUUCGAUACCGAAAUAAUAAAACUAAUACUGUCUCUUUCUAACUAAUGAAUAUUCUGAUAUGUGAAAAAAUAUGACUAUACGUCAGUCAGUGCUAAUUCUAUACCGCUUGACAUUUGAAGUUAGCUCAAAUACCUACUGUGGCCGGUCGCCAUUUUAUGUUCUCGUUAAUACGAUGUACAUGCUCUGUCAUUGCUCCGUAGUAAACAUUGAAAAAUAUUGAAUAUUUUUGUGAUUGUGACAAACAUUUGUGUCUAAAACAUAUAGAGUGGUCAAGGACAAAUAGUGGCAUAAUGCCAAAGCGCAGUAUUGUGAGAUGUGGCUCCGGAAAGAAUGAAAACCAGAAAAGUUUGUCUUUGCACCGGUUACCAAGAAGUGAAAAUAGAAAAGGAGAAUGGUUAGAAGCAAUUGAAACUGAAAAUAUCAAGCCAAAUGUAAAGGAUUUAACAUAGUACAUUUCCCAGAAAGUGCUUUCAAUAGAACAAUGGAUGUGAUUAGUCUGCACGAUGAUGCUACACCAGUAUGUCUGCCGCUGCAUUCACACAGGGUACCAGUUGAGCCUCAAAUCCCGAACUCAAAAAUGAACAGAGUGAAUCCGAGUGCAUCCCAGGCUGCACAAAAUAGUUUAGCUCUAUAAUUUUCUCUGUUAUUAUAUAUUAUUGUUUUUUUGUCUUAUUAUUUAUAAAUAAAUAAAUUACUGUAUAUUGUGUUGUUCAUCGUAAUAAAAUACUAUU